CACCUACUCCCUCCGUUCUGAAUUACUUGUCUUAGAUUUGUCUAGAUACGGAGGUAUCUAGCUCUAACAUGAGUCUAGAUACAUCCGUAUCUAGACAAAUCCAAGACAAGUAAUUCGGAAUGGAGGGAGUAGAUA
rfam:Triticum aestivum genome assembly, contig: Triticum_aestivum_CS42_TGACv1_scaffold_473477_6AL